CCCUGUAACUAAUGAAGUCCACAAAAUCUACUGCCUUGGGACAAAGAACUCUGUUGUUUCACAUGGCUCAUUGUCUCAGGUCAGAGAUGAAAUCCAUUUGUUUGCUGACUGAUUUUAUUAAGUUCUGAACAAGGAAAAAAAAUUGCAUCUCCAGUUGAAGGAACACAACUCAGCUUACCACCUUAAAGGAACCAUGUCUUGGAUCACACAAUUUCUUCCAGUGCCAGUGAAAAGCAUAGCUCUGAGAUGCAUGGGGAUAUUCUCCUAGCUUCAGUAAAGGGUGAAUUCAGGUGAAUUAGAAAAAAGAAAGAAAGAAAAAAAAAGACAUUCUUUCCCUAAGAAACUUUAUUGCCAUCUGCCGGGAAAUUGAAAUAAUAGCUACACAAUCCAAGAGAACAACAAGGUGAAAGUCAUCGUCUGGACUUGUGCAGUGUACAACUUGAACAACAAAAUGUUAUGGACUUUCCAAUAAAGCCAUUAGCUGCCUUAUUACCAGAGGGAUUACAAAAACAACCAGAUGAAUGAAAAAAUAAAGAAAGAAAGAAGGGAAAGAAAGAAGUAAUCAAGCAUUAGAUCUGCCAGAGUCCUCGUUCUGGUUCCAGUCUUUGGAGACUAGUUGAAGAUUCCUAUGCAGUUGUCUGUGGAACUAUUUGCUCUCCUCAUCCUUCUGUGGUGCCCAUAAGGAAAUGAUCAGCUGCAACAUUUUGUAAAUAAA